rnacentral:rRNA from 1 species
UACGUAGGGUGCAAGCGUUGUCCGGAAUUAUUGGGCGUAAAGAGCUCGUAGGCGGUCUGUUGCGUCGGCUGUGAAAACCCGGGGCUCAACUCCGGGCCUGCAGCCGAUACGGGCAGACUAGAGUUCGGCAGGGGAGACUGGAAUUCCUGGUGUAGCGGUGAAAUGCGCAGAUAUCAGGAGGAACACCGGUGGCGAAGGCGGGUCUCUGGGCCGAUACUGGCGCUGAGGAGCGAAAGCGUGGGGAGCGAACAGG